rnacentral:tRNA from 3 species
GGGGCUAUAGCUCAAUUGGUAGAGCGCUUGCAUGGCAUGCAAGAGGUCGGCGGUUCGAUUCCGCCUAGCUCCACCA